CCUUGAGUGGCACAGUGGUUUGAGUGUUAGAUUACAACUCUGGAGACCAGGGUUUGAUUCCCUGCCUAGUCA
rnacentral:tRNA from 1 species